ACAUGGCUGGCUUGGUCAGUAGAGCAUGAGACUCCUGAUCUCAAGGUGGUGAGUUCAAGUCCCAUGUUGCGCA
rnacentral:tRNA from 1 species